CGCACAUUGCGCCCCGUGGUAUUCCGCGGGGCAUGCCUGUUCGAGCGUCAUUUCACCACUCAAGCCUCGCUUGGUAUUGGGCGACGCGGUCCGCCGCGCGCCUCAAAUCGACCGGCUGGGUCGAUCGCACCCUCAGCGUUGUGGAAACUAUCCGCUAAAGGGACCGUGGUCGGUCACGCCGUGAAACAAACCAAUUUUUCAAUGGUUGACCUCGGAUCAGGUAGGGAUACCCGCUGAACUUAA
rnacentral:misc_RNA from 1 species